rnacentral:rRNA from 1 species
CCUACGGGUGGCAGCAGUGGGGAAUAUUGCACAAUGGGGGAAACCCUGAUGCAGCGACGCCGCGUGAGUGAAGAAGUAUUUCGGUACGUAAAGCUCUAUCAGCAGGGAAGAACAUGACGGUACCUGACUAAGAAGCCCCGGCUAACUACGUGCCAGUAGCCGCGGUAAUACGUAGUGGGCAAGCGUUAUCCGGAUUUACUGGGAGUAAAGGGGGCGUAGACGGCAGCGCAAGUUUGGAGUGAAAUCCCAUGGCUUAACCAUGGAACUGCUUUGGAAAAUGUGCAGCUAGAGUGCAGGAGAGGUAAGCGGAAUUCCUAGUGUAGCGGUGAAAUGCGGAGAUAUUAGGAGGAACACCAGUGGCGAAGGCGGCUUACUGGACUGUAACUGACGUUGAGGCUCGAAAGCGUGGGGAGCAAACAGGAUUAGAUACCCUUGUAGUC